GAUGAACGCUAGCUACAGGCCUAACACAUGCAAGUCGAGGGGCAUCGGGAGGGAAGCUUGCUUCCCUUGCCGGCGACCGGCGCACGGGUGAGUAACGCGUAUCGAACCUGCCCCAUACCCGGGGAUAGCCUUGCGAAAGUAAGAUUAAUACCCGAUGGUUUCCUUUAUCUCCUGAUAGAGGGAAUAAAGAAAUUCGGUAUGGGAUGGCGAUGCGUCCGAUUAGCUAGUUGGCGGGGGUAACGGCCCACCAAGGCGACGAUCGGUAGGGGUUCUGAGAGGAAGGUCCCCCACAUUGGAACUGAGACACGGUCCAA
rnacentral:rRNA from 1 species